UACAGAGACUGCAAGCGUUGUUCGGAAUUACUGGGCGUAAAGGGCUCGUAGGCGGCCAACUAAGUCAGACGUGAAAUCCCUCGGCUUAACCGGGGAACUGCGUCUGAUACUGGAUGGCUUGAGGUUGGGAGAGGGAUGCGGAAUUCCAGGUGUAGCGGUGAAAUGCGUAGAUAUCGGGAAGAACACCGGUGGCGAAGGCGGCUCGCUGGGCCAAUGCUGACGCUGAGGCGCGAAAGCGUGGGGAGCAAACAGG
rnacentral:rRNA from 1 species